UUGGGCGUAAAGCGCGCGCAGGCGGUUUCUUAAGUCUGAUGUGAAAGCCCACGGCUUAACCGUGGAGGGUCAUUGGAAACUGGGAGACUUGAGUGCAGAAGAGGAAAGUGGAAUUCCAAGUGUAGCGGUGAAAUGCGUAGAGAUUUGGAGGAACACCAGUGGCGAAGGCGACUUUCUGGUCUGCAACUGACGCUGAGGCGCGAAAGCAUGGGGAGCAAACAGGAUUAGAUACCCUGGUAGUCCAUGCCGUAAACGAUGAGUGCUAAGUGUUAGGGGGUUUCCGCCCCUUAGUGCUGCAGCUAACGCAUUAAGCACUCCGCCUGGGGAGUACGACCGCAAGGUUGAAACUCAAAGGAAUUGACGGGGGCCCGCACAAGCGGUGGAGCAUGUGGUUUAAUUCGAAGCAACGCGAAGAACCUUACCAGGUCUUGACAUCCCAGUGACCGCUCUAGAGAUAGAGUUUUCCCUUCGGGGACAUUGGUGACAGGUGGUGCAUGGUUGUCGUCAGCUCGUGUCGUGAGAUGUUGGGUUAAGUCCCGCAACGAGCGCAACCCUUGAUCUUAGUUGCCAUCAUUUAGUUGGGCACUCUAAGGUGACUGCCGGUGACAAACCGGAGGAAGGUGGGGAUGA
rnacentral:rRNA from 1 species